rnacentral:rRNA from 1 species
GACGAACGCUGGCGGCGUGCUUAACACAUGCAAGUCGAGCGAUGAAGUUUUCUCGGAAUGACGGUUUUGUGACUGAGUGGCGGACGGGUGAGUAACGCGUGGAUAACUUGCCUCAUACAGGGGGAUAACAGCCGGAAACGGCUGCUAAUACCGCAUAAGCGCACGGUACCGCAUGGUACAGUGUGAAAAACUCCGGUGGUAUGGGAUGGAUCCGCGUCUGAUUAGCCAGUUGGCGGGGUAACGGCCCACCAAGGCGACGAUCAGUAGCCGGUCUGAGAGGAUGAACGGCCACAUUGGGACUGAGACACGGCCCAGACUCCUACGGGAGGCAGCAGUGGGGAAUCUUGCACAAUGGGGGAAACCCUGAUGCAGCGACGCCGCGUGAACGAAGAAGUAUUUCGGUAUGUAAAGUUCUAUCAGCAGGGAAGAUAAUGACGGUACCUGACUAAGAAGCACCGGCUAAAUACGUG